UUACGGCCAUAUCAUGUUGAAACACUGGUUCUUGUACGAUCACUGAAGUUAAGCAACAUUGAGCCUGAUCAGUACCUAGAUGGGUGACUCCUUGGGUAUACCAGGUGCUGUAAG